rnacentral:rRNA from 1 species
AUACGGAGGGUGCAAGCGUUAAUCGGAAUUACUGGGCGUAAAGCGCUCGUAGGCGGCUUGUAAAGUCGGAUGUGAAAGCCCUGGGCUCAACCUGGGAAUUGCAUUCGAAACUGUCAGACUAGAGUAUGGUAGAGGGAAGUGGAAUUCCGGGUGUAGCGGUGAAAUGCGUAGAUAUCCGGAGGAACACCAGUGGCGAAGGCGGCUUCCUGGACCAAUACUGACACUGAUGUGCGAAAGCGUGGGGAGCAAACAGGAUUAGAAACCCCAGUAGUCC